rnacentral:rRNA from 1 species
UUAGGCCUACGGGGCGCAGCAGUGGGGAGUAUUGCACAAUGGGGGAAACCCUGAUGCAGCGACGCCGCGUGAAGGAAGAAGUAUUUCGGUAUGUAAACUUCUAUCAGCAGGGAAGAAAAUGACGGUACCUGACUAAGAAGCCCCGGCUAACUACGUGCCAGCAGCCGCGGUAAUACGUAGGGGGCAAGCGUUAUCCGGAUUUACUGGGUGUAAAGGGAGCGUAGGCGGUGCAGCAAGUCAGAAGUGAAAGCCCGGGGCUCAACUCCGGGACUGCUUUUGGACCUGU